UACCAGCACCCCGAGUAGUCGGGACGAUUAUUGGGCCUAAAGCAUCCGUAGCUUGUCCUGCAAGUCUUCCGUUAAAUCCAGCUGCUUAACAGAUGGGCUGCGGAAGAUACUACAAGACUAGGAGGUGGGAGAGGCAAGCGGUACUCAGUGGGUAGGGGUAAAAUCCUCUGAUCCAUUGAAGACCACCAGUGGCGAAGGCGGCUUGCCAGAACGCGCUCGACGGUGAGGGAUGAAAGCUGGGGGAGCAAACCGG
rnacentral:rRNA from 1 species